UACGAAGGGGGCUAGCGUUGCUCGGAAUCACUGGGCGUAAAGCGCACGUAGGCGGACUCUUAAGUCAGGGGUGAAAUCCUGGAGCUCAACUCCAGAACUGCCCUUGAAACUGCAGUGCUAGAAUCUUGGAGAGGCGAGUGGAAUUCCGAGUGUAGAGGUGAAAUUCGUAGAUAUUCGGAAGAACACCAGUGGCGAAGGCGACUCGCUGGACAAGUAUUGACGCUGAGGUGCGAAAGCGUGGGGAGCAAACAGG
rnacentral:rRNA from 1 species